AGAGCAUGAUAGGAGUUGAAGUUUCUCUCUCUCUCUCUGUUUCUCAGCCAAUAAAAGGCCUGGUGGUGUCCAUGCUCUGGCUGAGAAUGGACCCAAACGUGACAGAUAAAACUGAACAUGAGGUUCUCUUUUGCUCUCUUGGUCUGUGACAACCAAUGAUGUGCAGCUUUGCUGGAAAAACCUGGUAGAUGUUGAGGUCCACUUGUACAGUUUUCUUUUACCAGAUGUUACUUCUCAAGAAGGGAAGUGGAAAUGUGGCCUGCUAUAUAUAAUAUCUACUUUUGUUCUAAAAUGCAUCAGAAAAUAUGUGCUGCAUAAUAUAUGUGGCAGUGAGUGAGUGCCUUUUUAUCCUGGAUAUGUGCAUUCAGAAGCCAUUAAUACACUGUAAAAUAAAUAUUUUCUG
rnacentral:lncRNA from 11 species